rnacentral:rRNA from 1 species
GAUGAACGCUGGCGGCGUGCCUAAUACCUGCACGUCGAGCGAACAGAUGAGGAGCUUGCUCCUCUGACGUUAGCGGCGGACGGGUGAGUAACACGUGGAUAACCUACCUAUAAGACUGGGAUAACUUCGGGAAACCGGAGCUAAUACCGGAUAAUAUCUUGAACCGCAUGGUUCAAUAGUGAAAGACGGUUUUGCUGUCACUUAUAGAUGGAUCCGCGCCGCAUUAGCUAGUUGGUAAGGUAACGGCUUACCAAGGCAACGAUGCGUAGCCGACCUGAGAGGGUGAUCGGCCACACUGGAACUGAGACACGGUCCAGACUCCUACGGGAGGCAGCAGUAGGGAAUCUUCCGCAAUGGGCGAAAGCCUGACGGAGCAACGCCGCGUGAGUGAUGAAGGUCUUCGGAUCGUAAAACUCUGUUAUUAGGGAAGAACAAAUGUGUAAGUAACUAUGCACGUCUUGACGGUACCUAAUCAGAAAGCCACGGCUAACUACGUG